GGACUAUGGGUAUGGAAAACCAUUUUGCAGUAAUUAGGAAUGUGCAGCUGAAGAUGGUCAAAGAUCAAAGGCCAAGACUGAUGUCAGCUUGAAAGAAACCACUCUGUGUAUUGGAUUUGCAAGAUAAAAGAUGAUGAAUUAAUUAAUGCACCAGUUUCAAGUCCAAAGAUCGAAAAGCACCAUUUAGGUCAAGGUCAACUCCAAAUAUUGCUUAAAACCUAAUUUGUACCAACAACUGAAUCCAGAAGAGGGCAGCCUUGAUAGGACACCAAUAAAAAGAGC